GAUGAGCGCUGGCGGCGUGCCUAAUACAUGCAAGUCGAGCGAACAGACGAGGAGCUUGCUCCUCUGACGUUAGCGGCGGACGGGUGAGUAACACGUGGAUAACCUACCUAUAAGACUGGGAUAACUUCGGGAAACCGGAGCUAAUACCGGAUAAUAUAUUGAACCGCAUGGUUCAAUAGUGAAAGACGGUUUUGCUGUCACUUAUAGAUGGAUCCGCGCCGCAUUAGCUAGUUGGUAAGGUAACGGCUUACCAAGGCAACGAUGCGUAGCCGACCUGAGAGGGUGAUCGGCCACACUGGAACUGGGACACGGUCCAGACUCCUACGGGAGGCAGCAGUAGGGAAUCUUCCGCAAUGGGCGAAAGCCUGACGGAGCAACGCCGCGUGAGUGAUGAAGGUCUUCGGAUCGUAAAACUCUGUUAUUAGGGAAGAACAAAUGUGUAAGUAACUAUGCACGUCUUGACGGUACCUAAUCAGAAAGCCACGGCUAACUACGUG
rnacentral:rRNA from 1 species